GCCGCUGUGGCUUAGAGGUAGAGCAGCUGAUUCGUAAUCAGCAGGUCGUGGGUUCAAGCCCCACCGGCGGCU
rnacentral:tRNA from 1 species